CUUUUACCAUAGCACAUGUGUGGUUUACUUGUUUACUUGGAGGAGCACCGGAUGCCAGCACCAUCUUGUAAUGACGAAUGCUGUCAGCACAAGCCGCUGCUUUCCACAAUAAAGUACUAUCUGAGGACCAAGAAGUACCACUCCUGGGCAUAUACUGAGAAGAAGCUCCAAUAUAUAACAUGGGCACAUGCUGCAAUAUAUUUAAACCAACCUUAUUUAUAAUAGACAGAAGCUGGAAAGAACCCAGAUGUUGUUCGAAAGAGGAAUGGUUACAGAAAAUGUGCCAGAAACAGGACAAUCUAGAUGCCCCUGAACUAAGGACUGGAUAAAGAAAUUGUGAUACACUGAUAGAUUGGUGUAUUAAUCAGUUGUCACAAAAAUGAUUUCAUGAAAUAUUCAGGCAAAUGGUUGGAACUAGAAAAAUAAUAUCCUCAGUGAGGUAACCCAGACCCAAAGAGAAAAACAUGGUAUGUACUAACUUAUCAGUGGAUAUUAGUUAUUAAGUAAAAGAUAAUCAUGAGACAAUCCACAGACUAUGACAGGUUGAAUAACAAGGGUGAUGAAACUAAAGUGUAGAGGAUGAGAUGACUUGAAUUUGUCAGUGUUUGGAAAUGUUUGUGGAAAUCUAGUACAAUAGAAACUCCAUGGGAUAUAAAAUGGGGACCCUAGAGAAGACUAUUAGUACUAAGAAAUGUGAUGAGCCUGAACUAGACAUUUACUUCACCAGACAAGGAUUCCACUUCUGGGACUAGGAAACCUACUCAGACAUAAAAUUUUCAACCUAUAAUUUGUCCUUCCUGGAAAAUGUUCUGAAGUUAUGGCAGGUCAGAACAUGUGUGAUUGUUGUAAAUUGAGUCCAAUGACAAAUCAGGGGUCAAAGGCUGGGCACAAUCUAGAUGUAGGUGUCCAGAAAUUGAAUAUUGAACAUAUCAGGGACUCAUAAUGGAGAUGAAUACAAUUGGCAAAAAAAUCAAUUAAAUUAUUUCUAAUGUA